rnacentral:rRNA from 1 species
UACGUAGGGGGCAAGCGUUGUCCGGAAUCAUUGGGCGUAAAGAGCGUGUAGGCGGCUCGGUAAGUCCGCUGUGAAAGUCCAGGGCUCAACCCUGGAAUGCCGGUGGAAACUGUCGAGCUAGAGUCCGGAAGAGGCGAGUGGAAUUCCUGGUGUAGCGGUGAAAUGCGCAGAUAUCAUUUGGAACGCCAAUGGUGAAAACAGGUAGCUGGGGAUGUGCUGACGCUGAGACACGAAAGCCAGGGGAGCGAGCGGG